CUCCUCUCCUCUCCUCUCAUUCAAAAGGGUCUUGUCUCCUCUGCUCUCCUCUCAUUCAAAAGGGUCCCUGAGCUCCGAUCGCCUCUCCAUCUCGCUCCCGAGCUCCGAUCGGCGUCUCCGAGCUCCGAUCGCCUCCCCAUCUCGCUUCCCGAGCUCCGAUCAUUGUCCCUGAGCACCCAUGUCGCGCGAUCCGUGAGCCCGAGUCCCACGACCCGGCCGGCCGGAACUGCCGGAUUGCCCGAGCCGCAUCGACCAUGGCCCGCACCGUCCGCCGCAGCCCGUCUUGAGAUCCCACGCUGCUGCCCCUGCUCCGCCGCCGACCUCGCCUCCCUAGCCCGCGACAACCUCCACUACCACCAAGCUCAUCAUCAAGGAGGACGGCGUGGGGCACCUCCUCCGCCUCGUCAAGGAGGGCCGGGCCGACGGUUAGGAGAACGCUGCCCGCGCCCUCGAAGGGGAAGGCGAUGGGGGUCCGAUGGCUGCCUACGACCUCGCCCAACGACUCCUCCCCGGCCAAGCUCCGACAGAUCAUACAAUCCGCCGCAGGCUGGUGGCGGUCGCCAUGUUUGCCCUCUGUGUCGCCUUUGGAGGGUUCUUGCUGGCGGGCGCUCAGUCGACGCUUAUAUUCCAGAUGAUGAUUCUGAUUGCCAAUUUCACAGUCUUCUUCCUUGGCCUGCUGGUGAUCUACUUCUUUAUGCCAAUCUCCUCCGGGAUACCAGGGCUGCCGAUCUCCGCCGAUAGAUUGAUCUCGGUGACCCUAGCCGUAUCCGUAGGCACCAUGUUCCUUGAUUCCACUUGUCUCAUUCUGGUGGCCGGCUAAUCGAUUUGGACCUAUAGAUGAUACUCAAGGAACGCCUUAAUCCCUGUAGUCCGCUGGUUCUGCUUCUUUCUGUUUUAAAUAAUCAAGAGCUUUUUUUUGCUAGGAAUAAUCAAGAGCUUUUCUCUGUUCUGUGUUACUAAUGUUUUACGAGUGUUUUACGAGUAUUGCAGGUAGGGAUUCAAGCUUCUGCGAUUGUUUCAGUUGGAAAACAGAUUGGGGAUGAAAUAGUUGUUGUUAUUGAGGAAGCUCAUCCCCGUGUGAUGUCCUCUUUAUUAAGGAAAUAUAAAGGAGUUUGGAAGGUCUUGUAGACGAUGACAUUGCUGCAUUAUCCUUGAGCCCGGCCCCAGUGUUAUCAUCGGAGCUUGACAAAUUCGUGUAGUCCAUAAUAUUUGCCCAAUUGAUCCAGUUUAUGUGAGUGUUACUAAUUUCAGUCAUCUCACAUGAGCAAGAUAUCCAACGAGCACUUUGUACGAAUCUUGCUCCUAACAAUGCCACUGAUGACUGUUCCAAAACUGAAGCUAUACAAUUUAUAAGACUGCUACUUUUUUCGCCUUCUGGAUUUGCUAGAAGAUGCUGCCAAAGCUUUGAGAAUUUGGUGGUUGUGCUCCGCUGCCUUGAGCUCAUGUUCUGCAUCAGGGAAUAUACCAUCUAUUCAGGGAUGCGGUUGAAGUGUUUUCAAUGGAAAUGAACAGGAUAACUGUUGAGCUGCUUGCCAAUCUUUCUUUGCUAAUGAACAUGGAUAAAGAUGGGCUUUUAAGACUGCAUGGGGCUUUAAAACAAGCUAUGCGUAUGAACUACUAUCCAACUUGCUGCAGACCUGAUCUAGUUCUGGGUGUGAGUCCACAUUCAGAUGGCAGCUCUAUCACCAUACUCUUGCAAGAUGACAAUAUAACUGGCCUCCAAAUUAAGCACAAGGGGGAAUGGUUUCCUGUAAAACCAAUUCCAAAAGCUCUAGUGGUGAAUAUUGGAGAUGCUAUUGAGGUAUUCAGAAUCUAACUAGCAAAUUUUCUAUUUCCGGAACCCCAAAAAACAUAAUAUUAAGCAUCAACAAUUAGCUUUUUCCUGCAUGUCGGUCCUCCUCUACAUAAAUUGUACCUUGCCAGCGUCAUAUCUGAACCAUUUAUUUUAGUUUUUAUUCUCGGUCGAGUAAAUUGUACCUUGCCAGCGUCAUAUCUGAACCAUUCUUUGGAAGCUAGCAGUGUGGAUUUGUGAUGUUUAUCAUUUUCUUGAAGCAUGAAUUGGAAAGAUGAUGAAAAUUUGUGGGAA